rnacentral:rRNA from 1 species
CUACGGGCGGCACCAGGCGAGAAAACUUUGCAAUGUGCGAAAGCACGACAAGGUUAAUCCGAGUGGUUUCUGUUAAAGGAACCUUUUGUUAGUCCUAGAAACACUGAUGAAUAAGGGGUGGGCAAGUUCUGGUGUCAGCCGCCGCGGUAAAACCAGCACCUCAAGUGGUCAGGAUGAUUAUUGGGCCUAAAGCAUCCGUAGCCGGCUUUGUAAGUUUUCGGUUAGAUCCAUACGCUCAACGUAUGGGCUGCCGGGAAUACUGCAAAGCUAGGGAGUGGGAGAGGUAGACGGUACUCGGUAGGAAGGGGUAAAAUCCUUUGAUCUAUUGAUGACCACCUGUGGCGAAGGCGGUCUACCAGAACACGUCCGACGGUGAGGGAUGAAAGCUGGGGGAGCAAACCGGAUUAGAUACCCUGGUAGUC